rnacentral:rRNA from 1 species
UAGGGAAUCUUCCACAAUGGGCGCAAGCCUGAUGGAGCAACGCCGCGUGAGUGAAGAAGGUCUUCGGAUCGUAAAACUCUGUUGUUAGAGAAGAACACGAGUGAGAGUAACUGUUCAUUCGAUGACGGUAUCUAACCAGCAAGUCACGGCUAACUACGUGUCAG